rnacentral:misc_RNA from 1 species
GAGAGAGAGAGAGAGAGAGCAAUCGGGGCAAGGCAUGGAGGUGGGUCAGAUGCAGAGAACAUGGGUUGAAUAUACAAAGUCCUUGUUUAGGGAGGGUUUUCUGGACGGUCAGUUUACACAGCUUCAGCUACUGCAAGAUGAGAGCAACCCAGAUUUUGUUGUUGAAGUGGUGUCUCUCUUCUUUGAAGAUUCUGAGAGGCUUCUUAAUGAUCUCACUAGAGCUUUAGAUCAGCAAAUUGUAGACUUCAAAAGGGUUGAUGCCCAUGUGCACCAGUUGAAGGGUAGCAGCUCCAGGUACCUUCUUUUUGUUUUGCAUUUCGUAGCUGUCUUGUCGAGCCAUUGACUCCUACAUUACUCUUUUAAUACUGUUCGAACUUUUAUCCAUCUUAGGUCCGAUUAUUGGAGUCUGCAGCCACAUUUUUAAAACCAAGAAAGUUCAUCGAGUCUCAAAACAUUAAAAGAAAAAAUAAAAUUCUAUUCAUUUCAGAUCUGACACAGAGAAUAGAAAGUGAGACAUUGAGUUUAAUUGUUCCUGUUUAGCUCAUUUCUUGUUUGAUGAGAAAAGAAAAUGGGUUUCUUUCUGUGAACAGCAUAGGUGCACAGAGGGUUAAAAAUGCCUGCAUUGCUUUCCGCAACUUCUGUGAGGAGCAGAACUCUGAAGCGUGCUUGAAAUGCCUGCAACAAGUAAGGCAAGAGUAUUGUCUUGUGAAAAACAAGCUUGAAACUCUAAUCAGGCUGGAGCAACAAAUUGUGGCAGCUGGUGGGUCAAUUCCAAUUGAAGAAUUGAGUUUUCAAGGUUAUCAAGUGAAAUUGUGAGGAUCACUGUUUGGUUUUGUGUCUCACUUGUCUUUCACCGUAAGGUUCUGUUUAAUUAAUGGGGUUUGUGCUUUGUAUGAGUUAUGUGAAGAUAAAGAUUCUCAUCUAUUGCCACUUCUCAUUAUGAUCUUCAAGAGAACCUUUCCUGUUUAUGCUUCUCUUAUAUUUAUUACUUGUUUUCUAAUCUUUUAUUCUUUAUAUUAUCUAUAAAUAUGACUUUAGUGGAGAAAUAUUCUGUCAGCUGAUAGUAGAAUAUGGAAGUGGAUUUUUAACUUUGCUGAUUCAAUCUGCACCAUUGAUGUGGUUCAUGAGUUAAUUUUGACAUGCAUUCACCUGAUGCAUUCCUAGGAUCCUGUUAGUUGGAAUGCCACAAUUCUUAAAUUCAGCUAAAUUUUGAGUUCCUUGUAAUCAGCUUCAUCUGCAAAUUUGAAUUCUUGAUCACCAUCUUUUUUGUAAUCAUGGAUGUGAUGAUUAAUUUGGUGGGUAUAAUGGGAAGUGGGGAAUUGAUCUCCCUAUUACUGUUCCUUGUCUUGGGAAGUCUAACCAACUUUAUAUGCAUAUGAGGGUGCAUCCCACAGGCCACAGUUAUAGCAGUUGUCUAUGGACACAAAAAUCAGAAAAAGAAGAAGAAGACGCUCAAGCAGCCAAUGCUUUUUAUAAAUGUAGGGUCCUGGAAUACUCAAAUCAAUGACAAAGAUUUGAUUCCCAAGGUCAAUAGGAAUCUGUUGAGGCUGUCUGUUUUUGUCUGCUGCUGCACAGACGUGGAAGUGGUGAUUGUUUACAGGUCGAACAUUUCUAACUUGAACUAUGGGAUUGCAGACAAUUUUAUUCCGACAAGAGAAUCAAAGAAGUAACUUUUCAAUGAAUAAUUAGUCCAAUCCAUUACUAUGAUUUCAAGAAUUUGGUUGUGAACUCCACAUUCUCCUCUGCUCCUCGAAGCUUCCUACGACAGCGGAUUGGUUCUUAACUCCCAAUUGCAUUGCAAAAACAUCAUAAUAUACUACAGGGUCUACACUUUCCAAUAUUUUCACCAAUUUUCCUUGUUUUUCAUCCACCACAAUUUGUCCAUCUUUGGAUUCAACACCUUCAGCUAGGACCUUAAUGGGCUUGAUUUGCAAGAUAGGAUUCAGCAAAGGAUCCCCGGCCAAGACCACUGCACCAAGAAUUUCCCCCAAGAAUGUAUCCUGCAGAAUAACAUCGUUAAGUAAUAUCAGCAAAAACAGCAAGCAGGAAAGCCAAGAACCAAGAUAGUAAUUAAUGAUAAAGCAGUUGAGAUUUUUCUUUUGGAAUUAUACUAUUUCAUGGUAUAGUACUGAAAGAACAUCAGGCUAGUUAUCAGAUUUUUUUUUUACCAUGUGAUGGUAUCUGUGGUGAGUUUGUUGCAACCGGUAAAGCCUUGACAGCAAACGGUAGGCAAACAAAGCUUCAGGUGUCUUGUUUGUCCUGCCCAGCCUUUGUAGGAUCUUGGAGAAUGAACUUGCUUUGCGUUGGGCGUUGAGUGGAAUAAGUGUAAUGUCCAGUGAUGACUCAAAAACUAUCUUUGCAGCCAAGGGGUCAAGAUACAGGUUCAUUUCUCUAUAUUCAUUAGAAUGGACAGUCAAGACAUUUCCCUUGUCCAAAUUGCUAUGGUUAAUGUGUCCUCCAACAACAUAUACAUCCUGAAUCACAGAGCUUGAGUUUUUCCUUAAUCGAAUAAUCUUUGCUAAAUUAGUCAAUGGUCCAUUGGUCAAUAUGCUAAUCUUAGAUCCUGGUUCCAAUUUUUUCACUAUGGAAUCCCAAAUUUCAAGUGCCAGAGGCUGUCUGAGUUCAGGGUGAUCUGUGUUGCGGGGAGCUCCAAAUUGCAGAGAGUUUUCUGCAGUAUAUCUUCUAGGGCUUCGUGGCAGAUGCCGUGCAAGCCCAUAUAGAGUAUCUGAAUCCAAAAAUCCACCACUCCCUUGUGGAAUGACCUUAAUAUACUUGCAGUCUCCUGGAUCAGACUGGUUCAAUGCAAAUAUAUCUCCUAGACCCACUGGAAUGUCAUCACGACCCAUCAUAUGCAGUAAAUCAUAAACCACAUCUAUAGUUGCAGCAUUUGCCCAGCCGGUUGGACUUACAAUGACAGCCUUGAGGUUGAUCACUUCUACAGGUAAUUUAAGAAGGUAGUAGAGAGCCAGAAAAUCUCCAGCACUCAUAUCCAUGUCAAAGACAAUAGGUUUUCCCAGUUUCUUGCUACCAAAAUCUGGUUUGUAUAGAACUUCUUUGUAAUAACGAAAUUGUGUUGUAAAAUUGAACUUCCCAGUUUGCUGAGGGUGAUUUAGAACAUCCAAGAAACUCUUGAAAUAUGCCCUGUCAAGUCCACUACUAGUGUCUGGAUUAGGUUUAGCUCUGGUAGCGACGAGAACACGUACCCCCUGUGAACCUUUUACCUCCUUUGUAUAGCCAUCCUGGCAUCUUCUCUUCCCAUUCUGCAUUGUGCAGAAUGGAUCUCUGAGGCCUGUCUGGACAUGACCACUGUGUACUCCACCUUUCUCUAGAUUAAACUUUGGAACUUUAUGGCCAUCAAAGAAUGGAUUUGAACCAUCAUAUACCCCAUAAGGUUCAUUUGAAGUAACUACAGUUAUGUUCAUAUAUUCCAUUUCGGCAAAUUCAUUUUCUCCAUUUUUGUUAUGUGAAUUGCGCAUGAUAGAAACUGCUACGCCGGAUGUAAAUGAGUCCCACAUGGAAUAGCUCUGCAAGAAAGUUCGCUAAAUUGCGGGCCUACCGGACAUGUUUUUUGAGAAUGAGCCUUUGAGGACAUUGCAACAAAGAAACAUCUUAAAGAAAAUACCGUAUAAAAUUGGUCAUCAAACCAAGUAUCACGAGCCAUUUUCAAGGAUUGGAAACAGUAUUGUGCCUCAUAUGUAUGUUGGCUCUUUUCAAAUGCCUUAAAGAAAUCCUCAUUUAUGGGAAUGGUAUUUGUUGCAUCCAGGGGCACCAGUGUGACUGGUAUUCCAGAAUGGAUCACCUGAAAUAGAAGCAGAGGUGUCACUAACAUUUGCAGCCAAUCUUUAGCAUUCAUAAUUGCAACAACUUGACAAAGAUAAUGGUUUCCUAAAGAGUUGUGUGUUUGCUUGCCUGAUAUGCAGCAAAAGGAUCUCCAAAGAUAUUAAACUCAGCAUAAGGAUUGCUAAUGAAGUCUGUGAACAGAUUACCUCGGUCACCACAUUGUAUUGGCUCGCAAGAUGAACUUGCAUUUCGUGGGCAACAACCGGUUGGGUUUCGCGACCUCACCCCACCUCCCAUUAUAUAUAUGUGCUUAACAUUCUUCUUUAGAUGUGGAUUUUUCAGAAGAAAAAUGGCAAAAUUCGUAUGACCUCCUGUUAUGAAGAUAGUAAUAGGACCUGCAUAUAUUUUAUCAAUCAGCACUUGCUGUGCAGUGGGUUGUCGAAGAGGAGAAUAUUUCCUGCUGCCCUGCGGUAGGAAAGCUUUCCUUAGGCCAUAGUUUGAAUCAAUAUCUAGUCGUCGACCUAUAGGAAUAGCUUGUCUGUAUCUACAGCCUCCUGCUGUUGAAUUUCCCUGUUCAAUUAUGGGAAGAUAUCCACCAACAUCUGGGAGUAUAGUACCAUCUUCCAGUAUUCCACCCUCACCUCCCACUCCAACUGGUAUAUCGUCGCGGCCCAUCAUGUAAAGAAUGUCAUAGAUUUGGUUCACAGCAUGACCUGCAUCAGUCCAUGCAUUUGCAUUGAUAGUGAUUGCCUCCAACUCAAACUCUGAUCUGUUAAGCUUCAAGAUGUACAAAAGAGCAAAGAAAUCAUCAGUAUCGACAUCCGUAUCCAGAAGAAUCCGAUGAGGCCUACUGUCCACAAUAUGUAAUUUAGCAACAGCAAGUCCAAUGAUCAAUGCAAUAACCACCCAGAAAGUCCUCUGCAAUAACAUUUUUCGUAUUCCAAUCUCAACCCUCAAGAGUCUACUCGCUGCAAACCUGCAAACUGUUAC